CCCAGACUCCUACGGGAGGCAGCAGUGGGGAAUAUUGCACAAUGGGGGAAACCCUGAUGCAGCGACGCCGCGUGAGUGAAGAAGUAUUUCGGUAUGUAAAGCUCUAUCAGCAGGGAAGAUAAUGACGGUACCUGACUAAGAAGCCCCGGCUAACUACGUGCCAGCAGCCGCGGUAAUACGUAGGGGGCAAGCGUUAUCCGGAUUUACUGGGUGUAAAGGGUGCGCAGGUGGCAGGGCAAGUCAGAUGUGAAAGCCCGGGGCUCAACCCCGGUAUUGCAUUUGAAACUGUCCGGCUAGAGUGCAGGAGAGGUAAGCGGAAUUCCUAGUGUAGCGGUGAAAUGCGUAGAUAUUAGGAGGAACACCAGUGGCGAAGGCGGCUUACUGGACUGUAACUGACACUGAGGCACGAAAGCGUGGGGAGCAAACAGGAUUAGAUACCCUCGUACG
rnacentral:rRNA from 1 species